rnacentral:rRNA from 1 species
UUUACGGAGAGUUUGAUCCUGGCUCAGGACGAACGCUGGCGGCGUGCUUAACACAUGCAAGUCGAACGAUGAUGCCCAGCUUGCUGGGUGGAUUAGUGGCGAACGGGUGAGUAACACGUGAGUAACCUGCCCCUGACUCUGGGAUAAGCGUUGGAAACGACGUCUAAUACUGGAUAUGAUCACUGGCCGCAUGGUCUGGUGGUGGAAAGAUUUUUUGGUUGGGGAUGGACUCGCGGCCUAUCAGCUUGUUGGUGAGGUAAUGGCUCACCAAGGCGACGACGGGUAGCCGGCCUGAGAGGGUGACCGGCCACACUGGGACUGAGACACGGCCCAGACUCCUACGGGAGGCAGCAGUGGGGAAUAUUGCACAAUGGGCGAAAGCCUGAUGCAGCAACGCCGCGUGAGGGAUGACGGCCUUCGGGUUGUAAACCUCUUUUAGUAGGGAAGAAGCGA